rnacentral:rRNA from 1 species
UACGAAGGGGGCUAGCGUUGUUCGGAAUCACUGGGCGUAAAGCGCACGUAGGCGGGUUCUUAAGUCAGGGGUGAAAUCCCGAGGCUCAACCUCGGAACUGCCUUUGAUACUGGGAAUCUUGAGUUCGGGAGAGGUGAGUGGAAUUGCGAGUGUAGAGGUGAAAUUCGUAGAUAUUGGGAAGAACACCGGUGGCGAAGGCGGCGAGCUGGUCCAUUACUGACGCUGAGGCGCGACAGCGUGGGGAGCAAACAGG